GACGAACGCUGGCGGCGUGCUUAACACAUGCAAGUCGAACGCUGAAGGCCUGGCUUUUGUUGGGUUGGAUGAGUGGCGAACGGGUGAGUAACACGUGAGUAACCUGCCCUCUUCUUUGGGAUAACGCCCGGAAACGGGUGCUAAUACUGGAUAUUCACUGAUCUUCGCAUGGGGGUUGGUGGAAAGGUUUGUUCUGGUGGGGGAUGGGCUCGCGGCCUAUCAGCUUGUUGGUGGGGUGAUGGCCUACCAAGGCUUUGACGGGUAGCCGGCCUGAGAGGGUGACCGGUCAAAUUGGGAAUGAGAUACGGCCCAGACUCCUACGGGAGGCAGCAGUGGGGAAUAUUGCACAAUGGGCGAAAGCCUGAUGCAGCGACGCCGCGUGAGGGAUGGAGGCCUUCGGGUUGUAAACCUCUUUCGCUCAUGGUCAAGCCGCAACUGUGGGUUGUGGUGAGGGUAGUGGGUAAAGAAGCGCCGGCUAACUACGUG
rnacentral:rRNA from 1 species